rnacentral:rRNA from 1 species
AUUGAACGCUGGCGGCAUGCCUUACACAUGCAAGUCGAACGGUAACGGGCCUUCGGGUGCCGACGAGUGGCGAACGGGUGAGUAAUACAUCGGAACGUGCCCGAUCGUGGGGGAUAACGAGGCGAAAGCUUUGCUAAUACCGCAUACGAUCUACGGAUGAAAGCAGGGGACCGCAAGGCCUUGCGCGGACGGAGCGGCCGAUGGCAGAUUAGGUAGUUGGUGGGAUAAAAGCUUACCAAGCCGACGAUCUGUAGCUGGUCUGAGAGGAUGAUCAGCCACACUGGGACUGAGACACGGCCCAGACUCCUACGGGAGGCAGCAGUGGGGAAUUUUGGACAAUGGGCGCAAGCCUGAUCCAGCCAUGCCGCGUGCAGGAUGAAGGCCUUCGGGUUGUAAACUGCUUUUGUACGGAACGAAAAGCCUUCUUUUAAUACAGGAGGGUCAUGACGGCACCGGAAGAAUAAGCACCGGCUAACUACGUG